rnacentral:rRNA from 1 species
UACGAAGGGGGCUAGCGUUGUUCGGAAUUACUGGGCGUAAAGCGCACGUAGGCGGGUUGUUAAGUCAGGGGUGAAAUCCUGGAGCUCAACUCCAGAACUGCCUUUGAUACUGGCAACCUAGAGACUGGAAGAGGUUAGUGGAAUUCCCAGUGUAGAGGUGAAAUUCGUAGAUAUUGGGAAGAACACCAGUGGCGAAGGCGGCUAACUGGAUCGGUACUGACGCUGAGGUGCGAAAGCGUGGGGAGCAAACAGG